GAUCCGAAAACUCUGAGGAGAGAAGGCGU
rnacentral:piRNA from 1 species